UGUAACGCGUGGAUAACCUGCCCAUUAGACCGGGAUGACGCCGGGAAACUGGUGCUAAUACCGGAUACGCUCACUGGGUCGCAUGGUCUGGUGAGGAAAGGUUAAUUCCGCUAAUGGAUGGGUCCGCGUCCCAUUAGCUUGUUGGUAGGGUAACGGCCUACCAAGGCGACGAUGGGUAGCCGGCCUGAGAGGGCGACCGGCCACACUGGAACUGAGACACGGUCCAGACUCCUACGGGAGGCAGCAGUGGGGAAUCUUCCGCAAUGGGCGCAAGCCUGACGGAGCAACGCCGCGUGAGCGAAGAAGGCCUUCGGGUUGUAAAGCUCUGUCCAGGGGGAAGAAGCAAGUGACGGUACCCUUGGAGGAAGCCCCGGCUAACUACGUGCCAGCAGCCGCGGUAAAACGUAGGGGGCGAGCGUUGUCCGGAAUUACUGGGCGUAAAGGGCGUGUAGGCGGCAAUGCAAGUCAGGAGUGAAACCCGCCGGCUCAACCGGCGGCCUGCUUCUGAAACUGCAUAGCUUGAGUGCAGGAGAGGGAAGUGGAAUUCCCAGUGUAGCGGUGAAAUGCGUAGAUACUGGGAGGAACACCAGUGGCGAAAGCGGCUUCCUGGCCUGUAACUGACGCUGAGGCGCGAAAGCGUGGGGAGCAAACAGGAUUAGAUACCCUGGUAGUCCACGCCGUAAACGAUGGGUGCUAGGUGUUGGGGGUAUCGACCCCUCCAGUGCCGCAGUUAACGCAAUAAGCACCCCGCCUGGGGAGUACGGGCCGCAAGGCUGAAACUCAAAGGAAUUGACGGGGGCCCGCACAAGCGGUGGAGCAUGUGGUUUAAUUUCGACGCAACGCGAAGAACCUUACCAGGUCUUGACAUCC
rnacentral:rRNA from 1 species